rnacentral:lncRNA from 1 species
UUAUUAAGUUUGGUAAGUGUUUAAAUAGUUCCCUUGCUGUUUAUUUUGACUAAUGAUUCUGGAUCCAAUUGAUGUGGAGAAGUUGUUCAAGCUUUAGUACAAUAGUCCUGAAGUUCUUGAAACAAAGUCGACCUUGACCUGCUAUUUUUUCCCUUUUGUACCGUCUUGAUGACUGAUGCUUUAACAAGGUAUGUGACACUCUUUUAUUACUACACUCUACAUUCACUACUUAAAACACUUCUCCCAUUUCAAUAUAGAAUCUCUACAGAUAUUUUGUGCACACAAUUGCAGCUGUAAUUAAGAACGACAUGCCAACCACCAACAAAGUAAUCGACUGCAUUACUAUAUUACCUUUUACCGAUAUGUGCUUCUGUGAACAUUUGUAAAUGAUGUAUAAAUAGUGCAAUCACGAAUCUUAUGUACAAACAAUAUGUGUAUGUAUAAAUUAGCCAUCUUUAGCUAUUCGCCGCCUUAUCAAUAUGUGUAACUACUGUCCUCC